rnacentral:rRNA from 1 species
UACAGAGGGGGCAAGCGUUGUUCGGAAUUACUGGGCGUAAAGGGCGCGUAGGCGGCCUGUUAAGUCGGACGUGAAAUCCCUCGGCUCAACCGGGGAACUGCGUCCGAUACUGGCGGGCUUGAAUUCGGGAGAGGGAUGUGGAAUUCCAGGUGUAGCGGUGAAAUGCGUAGAUAUCAGGAGGAACACCGGUGGCGAAGGCGGAUCUCUGGGCCUUGCCUGACGCUGAGGCGCGAAAGCUAGGGGAGCGAACAGG